CUCGUAGGUGGUUUGUCGCGUUGUUCGUGAAAACUCACAGCUCAACUGUGGGCGUGCGGGCGAUACGGGCAGACUAGAGUACUGCAGGGGAGACUGGAAUUCCUGGUGUAGCGGUGGAAUGCGCAGAUAUCAGGAGGAACACCGGUGGCGAAGGCGGGUCUCUGGGCAGUAACUGACGCUGAGGAGCGAAAGCGUGGGAGCGAACA
rnacentral:rRNA from 1 species